CAGCGUUUCAUCUGUCUGCAAGUCCAAAUCAGCUUGUGACACUUAUUUUAUUUGAAAACCUCCAGCCAGUUUAUCGAUCUGAAGGUUGGAGCAGGCAGCUGCAGCUCCGCCCCCCCCAAAAGACUGAUAGAGGACAGGACGCCUCCAUGCACUCUCCCACCUCCACCGUCGCUUAACACAUCGCUGACCAACCAUCUCCUCUUCAGCCUCACUAGUCUGAUUGGCCGAGGCACGUGGAGCAGCAGGUGUUUCUACAACAGAAGAAGAAGAGGUAAAGAAAGGAACCAACAAAGGAGAGCACUGCAAGAGGCCACCUGAACAACAAACACCCCUAGGAACUUCAAUAACUUCAGGAGGAUGUCUUCAUCUCAGAACAGAUCUGGACACAAACCAUCUGGACUUAAACGUUUCUGUUUAUGGCUCCACUGCCGCUCCUCACCCUCUCCUCCCCCUCCUCUUCCUCUCCCUGUCAGCUGUGGCGUCCCCAACUCUCCCCCGGUGUCUUGUCGUCUCCCCCUGCUGGUUGUCCUGCUGCUCUGCAGUCUGCUGCUGAUGCUGCUGAUUCUGUUGUGGAAUUACCACUGUUUGUUCAUCUCCCACAUCUGCUCCCAACAGUGGGAGGAGGGGGAGGAGGGGGAAGACGGGGGAGGGAGGGCCAUGGCCCCCUCGCGGUGACAGUGGCACCACACACGUCCUGAAACCAGUCCUGCAGAAACCACAGAUAAAGAUGGUUUUGGCCGGGGGUUAGUUCAGAUUUAAAAAUAUUUUCCUUCAUCUACAAACAUUUCUUAGUGGCACUGUAAACAAGAACUACAAGGAUAUUAAAAGAGAUUGAAAGAGAUUAAAAGAGGUGAAAAUUGGGUUGUAUGGCCACAUAAAAAAUGCAAUUCUUCUCAAGACUGCUCACUGCUGCAAUUUUAGUAUUUCACUUCAGUAGUUGUUGUGAGAUUAAAAAGACUUUUAGCCCAAAAAUCUGGAUCCUACAUUUCCCAUGAUGCACCUGGACGACAUCAUUAUGACAUCAUCGGAGUUAUUGGAGUCAGUGUAAAAAUUUGUGCAAUUUACCAUAAUAAAAGCUCCCUGAUUGCUUUG